rnacentral:rRNA from 1 species
CAGCAGCCGCGGGAAUACGUAGGUGGCAAGCGUUGUCCGGAAUUAUUGGGCGUAAAGGGCUCGCAGGCGGUUUCUUAAGUCUGAUGUGAGAGCCCCCGGCUCAACCGGGGAGGGUCAUUGGAAACUGGGAAACUUGAGUGCAGAAGAGGAGAGUGGAAUUCCACGUGUAGCGGUGAAAUGCGUAGAGAUGUGGAGGAACACCAGUGGCGAAGGCGACUCUCUGGUCUGUAACUGACGCUGAGGAGCGAAAGCGUGGGGAGCGAACAGGAUUAGAUACCCCAGUAGUCCCUGUCUCUUAUAC